rnacentral:rRNA from 1 species
UACGGGGGGGGCAAGCGUUGUUCGGAAUUACUGGGCGUAAAGGGCUCGUAGGCGGCCAACUAAGUCGGAUGUGAAAUCCCCAGGCUUAACCUGGGAACUGCAUCCGAUACUGGAUGGCUUGAAUCCGGGAGAGGGAUGCAGAAUUCCAGGUGUAGCGGUGAAAUGCGUAGAUAUCGGGAGGAACACCAGUGGCGAAGGCGACUUUCUGGCCUGUUCUUGACGCUGAGGCGCGAAAGCUAGGGGAGCAAACGGG